rnacentral:rRNA from 1 species
UAGGGAAUCUUCCGCAAUGGACGCAAGUCUGAUGGAGCAACGCCGCGUGAGUGAAGAAGGUUUUCGGAUCGUAAAACUCUGUUGUUAGAGAAGAACAAGUGCUAGAGUAACUGUUAGCGCCUUGACGGUAUCUAACCAGAAAGCCACGGCUAACUACGUGCCAGCAGCCGCGGUAAUACGUAGGUGGCAAGCGUUGUCCGGAUUUAUUGGGCGUAAAGCGAGCGCAGGCGGUUCCUUAAGUCUGAUGUGAAAGCCCCCGGCUCAACCGGGGAGGGUCAUUGGAAACUGGGGAACUUGAGUGCAGAAGAGGAGAGUGGAAUUCCAUGUGUAGCGGUGAAAUGCGUAGAUAUAUGGAGGAACACCAGUGGCGAAGGCGACUCUCUGGUCUGUAACUGACGCUGAGGCUCGAAAGCGUGGGUAGCAAACAGGAUUAGAUACCCUGGUAGUCCACGCCGUAAACGAUGAGUGCUAAGUGUUGGAGAGUUUCCGCCCUUCAGUGCUGCAGUUAACGCAUUAAGCACUCCGCCUGGGGAGUACGACCGCAAGGUUG